CCGAGAUAGGGGUACAAAUCCUGCCAAAGGCGUUUCCCUGGACCUAAGCGAUGAUGCGCAAGCUAGCGACGACUCUCGGCGUGUAGAGGGGGCGAGUUCCGAUUCGAAGGGAAGCCCCUCUCAC
rnacentral:ncRNA from 1 species